GACGAACGCUGGCGGCGUGCUUAACACAUGCAAGUCGAACGGAAAGGCCCUGCUUUUGUGGGGUGCUCGAGUGGCGAACGGGUGAGUAACACGUGAGUAACCUGCCCUUGACUUUGGGAUAACUUCAGGAAACUGGGGCUAAUACCGGAUAGGAGCUCCUGCUGCAUGGUGGGGGUUGGAAAGUUUCGGCGGUUGGGGAUGGACUGGCGGCUUACCAGCUUGUUGGUGGGGUAGUGGCUUACCAAGGCUUUGACGGGUAGCCGGCCUGAGAGGGUGACCGGCCACAUUGGGACUGAGAUACGGCCCAGACUCCUACGGGAGGCAGCAGUGGGGAAUAUUGCACAAUGGGCGGAAGCCUGAUGCAGCAACGCCGCGUGCGGGAUGACGGCCUUCGGGUUGUAAACCGCUUUCGCCUGUGACGAAGCGUGAGUGACGGUAAUGGGUAAAGAAGCACCGGCUAACUACGUG
rnacentral:rRNA from 1 species